GAUGAACGCUGGCGGCGUGCCUAAUACAUGCAAGUCGAGCGAAUGGAUUAAGAGCUUGCUCUUAUGAAGUUAGCGGCGGACGGGUGAGUAACACGUGGGUAACCUGCCCAUAAGACUAGGAUAACUCCGGGAAACCGGGGCUAAUACCGGGUAACAUUUUGAACCGCAUGGUUCGAAAUUGAAAGGCGGCUUCGGCUGUCACUUAUGGAUGGACCCGCGUCGCAUUAGCUAGUUGGUGAGGUAACGGCUCACCAAGGCAACUAUGCGUAGCCGACCUGAGAGGGUGAUCGGCCGCACUGGGACUGAGACACGGCCCAGACUCCUACGGGAGGCAGCAGUAGGGAAUCUUCCGCAACGGACGAAAGUCUGACGGAGCAACGCCGCGUGAGUGAUGAAGGCUUUCGGGUCGUAAAACUCUGUUGUUAGGGAAGAGCAAGUGCUAGUUGGAUAAGCUGGCACCUUGACGGUACCUAACCAGAAAGCCACGGCUAACUACGUGCCAGCCGCCGCGGUAA
rnacentral:rRNA from 1 species